rnacentral:rRNA from 1 species
AUGACAGAAAUAUCGGACCGAGCUACGCGAGGAGCAGCGCCUACCAAGCUCUUUUCCACCAGUCCAUCUUUUCCACCGGUAGUCCAUCACAUGGACAUGGGUCAAGACGAGCGCCAGGAUCCAGAGCUGCCGGCCAUGGAGAAGGAGCUCUCUGCCGACGCGGUAGCCUGCGACUACUGCAGCGGCCCACAGUCGGUGGUGUACUGCCGGGCCGACAGCGCCAGGCUCUGCCUGCCGUGCGACCGCCACGUGCACGCCGCCAACGCGGUCUGCUCCCGCCACCUGCGCGCUCCGCUCUGCGCCGCAUGCCGCGCCACCGGGGCCGUCUUCCGCCACGGCGGCCCCGAAUUCCUCUGCUCCAACUGCGACUUCGGGAGGAGCAGGGACGGCGAGCUGCCGCUGCACGACCGCUGUACAGUCCAGGGGUACACGGGACGACCCUCGGCGCACGACCUCGCUGCUCUUCUCGGGGUCCCCGACUUGGACAAGCCCUCGGCCGGCAAAGCCGACGACGGUUGGUGGGCCAUCUGGGAGGAGCCCCAGGUGUUCAGCCUGGAGGAUCUCAUCGUGCCCACCACUUCUUGCCAUAGCUUCCAGCCCCUCGUCACGCCGUCCUCGCCCAAGAUCCAGAACUCACCCGAAGGAAAGACGAACGAUGAGGUCAUACGGCAGUUACGUGAGCUCGCGGAGGUGGACAUGGGCGGCGGUCAGAUAACACCUCGUGAGGAGGCAGAGCAAGCUGCUCAUCAGUUGCCUUCCUGGACAGAGUCACAGCACACCACUGGAAAUGGCGAUUUCGGCACAGAUAACAGCCAUGAGGUUGCAACCAUGCCAACCCCUGGUUAUGAGAACGGCGGAUGGAACAACAACGAUUGUCAUGCCCUAAAAGAUGACUGCAAGACCGAGUAUGAACAGGAGCAGGCUCCAGCAAACUCAGCUGAAGCAUGCUUGUCAUUGUUUGUUCAGAUGUCAGAACUUUGCCCCAGCAUGAGCAAUGGUGGCAUGAUGGACGAUAGCCAGCAGGCAAAUCCUGGUAUUGGCAUGCCAAUGCAAGCUUUCCCCAAAAGAAGUGGCUUUGAUGUUGUUGCUGGCCUUGACCGCGACAUUGUCAUUUCCCGCUAUAAAGAAAAGAGGAGGACAAGGAGAUUUGACAAACAGGUGCGAUAUGAGUCCCGCAAAGCUCGUGCGGACAGCAGGUUGAGAAUCAAGGGCCGUUUUGCAAAGGCAAAUCAGAGUUAA